ACUUCGUGGUUUGGACAUUGCUUUAGUUUUCCGUUGAAUCUUUCCCACACUUUAUACAAGGGUACUCUAUUCAAUUAAAUAAAUCUAGUGAUAUCAUCCCUCAAUUU
rfam:Capsicum annuum cultivar Zunla-1 chromosome 9, whole genome shotgun sequence